UAACGGGAAGAACCUUACCAAGGCUUGACAUACCCCGGAAACGGCCAGAGAUGGUCGCCCCCUUGUGGUCGGUGUACAGGUGGUGCAUGGUUGUCGUCAGCUCGUGUCGUGAGAUGUUGGGUUAAGUCCCGCAACGAGCGCAACCCUCGUUCUAUGUUGCCAGCGCGUUAUGGCGGGGACUCAUAGGAGACUGCCGGGGUCAACUCGGAGGAAGGUGGGGAUGACGUCAAAUCAUCAUGCCCCUUAUGUCUUGGGCUUCACGCAUGCUACAAUGGCCGGUACAAAGGGCUGCAAUACCGUAAGGUGGAGCGAAUCCCAAAAAGCCGGUCUCAGUUCGGAUUGAGGUCUGCAACUCGACCUCAUGAAGUCGGAGUCGCUAGUAAUCGCAGAUCAGCA
rnacentral:rRNA from 1 species